UACGAAGGGGGCUAGCGUUGUUCGGAAUUACUGGGCGUAAAGAGCUCGUAGGCGGUUCGGCAAGUCAGCUGUGAAAUCUCCACGCUCAACGUGGAGGGGUCAGCUGAUACUGCUGUGACUUGAGUCCGGUAGGGGAGUGUGGAAUUCCCGGUGUAGCGGUGAAAUGCGCAGAUAUCGGGAGGAACACCAGUAGCGAAGGCGGCACUCUGGGCCGGUACUGACGCUGAGGAGCGAAAGCGUGGGGAGCAAACAGG
rnacentral:rRNA from 1 species